GGCCGAAUGGUUCUUAUCUGCCAUCACAUUCUAUGUUUCUAUGUUUCUAUGUAAUAUGCAGCCCCUUAGUUAAUGAAAUUGUCAAAAUGCUUUGAUACAUAUUUGUUCUGUUCACAAAUAGAAACAUAGAAACAUAGAAUGUGAUGGCAGAUAAGAACCAUUCGGAC